rfam:Balearica pavonina gibbericeps contig6903, whole genome shotgun sequence.
GCUGGUGUAGGUGAUGACUGACUUUUUUCCCCAUCAGAGCGACAGUGUUGAUUUCUCAGUAAAAUCCCACGGGCUGUAGAAGC